rnacentral:rRNA from 1 species
CCUUACCAGGUCUUGACAUCCUUUGACAAUCCUAGAGAUAGGACUUUCCCUUCGGGGACAAAGUGACAGGUGGUGCAUGGUUGUCGUCAGCUCGUGUCGUGAGAUGUUGGGUUAAGUCCCGCAACGAGCGCAACCCCUAUUGUUAGUUGCCAGCAUUCAGUUGGGCACUCUAAUGAGACUGCCGGUGACAAACCGGAGGAAGGUGGGGAUGACGUCAAAUCAUCAUGCCCCUUAUGACCUGGGCUACACACGUGCUACAAUGGAUGGUACAACGAGCAGCAAGACCGCGAGGUCAAGCGAAUCUCUUAAAGCCAUUCUCAGUUCGGAUUGCAGGCUGCAACUCGCCUGCAUGAAGCCGGAAUCGCUAGUAAUCGCGGAUCAGCACGCCGCGGUGAAUACGUUCCCGGGUCUUGUACACACCG